UACGAAGGGGGCUAGCGUUGUUCGGAAUCACUGGGCGUAAAGGGCGCGUAGGCGGCCGAUCAAGUCGGGGGUGAAAGCCUGUGGCUUAACCACAGAAUGGCCUUCGAUACUGUUUGGCUUGAGACCGGAAGAGGUUAGUGGAACUGCGAGUGUAGAGGUGAAAUUCGUAGAUAUUCGCAAGAACACCAGUGGCGAAGGCGGCUGACUGGUCCGGUUCUGACGCUGAGGCGCGAAAGCAUGGGGAGCGAACAGG
rnacentral:rRNA from 1 species